UACGUAGGGUGCAAGCGUUGUCCGGAAUUAUUGGGCGUAAAGAGCUCGUAGGCGGUUUGUUGCGUCGGCUGUGAAAUCCCGAGGCUCAACCUCGGGUCUGCAGUCGAUACGAGCAAACUAGAGUGUUGCAGGGGAGACUGGAAUUCCAGGUGUAGCGGUGAAAUGCGUAGAUAUCUGGAGGAAUACCGGUGGCGAAGGCGGCAUCCUGGACCGGCAUUGACGCUGAGGUGCGAAAGCGUGGGGAGCAAACAGG
rnacentral:rRNA from 1 species